GAAUAUUACCGGAUUUGGUUUAGCACAGAGGAAUUAAAAAAAUUCCUACGGUUAAUUUUACCAUUUAUUCCGGUUCCGAGCAUGAUUAGAAAAGUCUUAAUAAUUUAUGAGAAUCCCGAACUUCAACAACGCUGAAUCUCUGAAAUGAAAAAUCUCGCUCCUCAUUAUUCUAAAAAUAUCGAUGAGGAACUGGUUAAGAAAAAGCAGAGAAUGAUAUAGUCCAAUUUGGCAUUAGCCAAUUUGACCCUUGUAGUCCACGCCCUAAACGAUGAGUGCUAGAUAUUAGAAACUUGAUUUUCAGUGUCGCUAGAUAACUCGGUAAGCACUCCGCCUGGGUAGUACGCUCGCAAGAGUGAAACUCAAAGGAAUUGACGGGGACUCGCACAAGCACUGGAGCAUGUGGUUUAAUCCGAUGCAACGCGUAGAACCUUACCAAGGCUUGACAUGUUUGGCAAAACUGUGGAAACACAGCGGAGGUUAUCCAAACACAGGUGCUGCAUGGCCGUCGUCAGUUCGUGCCGUGAGGUGUAUGGUUAAGUCCUAUAACGAACGCAACCCUUGGGCUUAGUUGCCAGCAUUAAGUUGGGGACUCUAGGCCGAACUGCCUGAGUAAUCAGGAGGAAGGAAAGGAUGACGUUCUGGUCG
rnacentral:rRNA from 1 species